UCGGACAUGGUGUACGGUACACGCCCUCUCUCGUUAUACUGGAGGGAUCCUUGACAAUACAAGAGGGAAUAUUAUCCGGGGUUCGACUCCCCGUGUUCGAA